GGCUUGUGAGUUGAAAGCCAAACAAGUCUACUCCUCUCAAUGGGAAUUGUGUCUGUACUCAUAAACAUAUUCAUAUGUAAGGAGAUAUGACUAAUAUUAUUUGAAAAAAUAAUAGUCAUGGCAAAAUAAUUUAAUUGAAUGCAUUAUACUACCUGUGAUAGGUUAACCAUGUUGGUGGAAGAUUCCUCAUUGUUUAUGGUAUCAUAGCUUCCCAUAAAUUGUUGCUGGUUUGUAUACAGAAAAUAAGACGCACAAUAAAAUUAUCAGAAUCAAAGUUAAUUAUACUUGUUUUCAAAGUG
rnacentral:lncRNA from 1 species